UUCGGGAGCUUCACUCCCAACCCAUGUGAACAUACCUACUGUUGCUUCGGCGGGAUUGCCCCGGGCGCCUCGUGUGCCCCGGAUCAGGCGCCCGCCUAGGAAACUCAACUCUUGUUUUAUUUUGGAAUCUUCUGAGUAGUUUUUACAAAUAAAUAAAAACUUUCAACAACGGAUCUCUUGGUUCUGGCAUCGAUGAAGAACGCAGCGAAAUGCGAUAAGUAAUGUGAAUUGCAGAAUUCAGUGAAUCAUCGAAUCUUUGAACGCACAUUGCGCCCGCCAGUAUUCUGGCGGGCAUGCCUGUCUGAGCGUCAUUUCAACCCUCAUGCCCCUAGGGCGUGGUGUUGGGGAUCGGCCAAAGCCCGCGAGGGACGGCCGGCCCCUAAAUCUAGUGGCGGACCCGUCGUGGCCUCCCCUGCGAAGUAGUGAUAUUCCGCAUCGGAGAGCGACGAGCCCCUGCCGUUAAACCCCCAACUUUCCAAGGUUGACCUCAGAUCAGGUAGGAAUACCCGCUGAACUUAAGCAUAUCAAUAAGCGGAGGGAA
rnacentral:rRNA from 1 species